rnacentral:lncRNA from 1 species
UAACGGGUAGCGGGACCCCUAUGGAUCCCCAUGGAUACUAGUAGGCUGGUGAAUGAGGAAAAGUAAUUGUGAAAUGAUUGAAUUGCAAGGGCGUGAUGAGUAUUAUGUUACACAGUUUAUAUGAUUUCAUGAUUAUGAUAAUGUUAUUGCUUUCGUAUAUUGUUUUAUGAAUUUCACCGAGGUAAGUGAAUGGUAAAGGGUUUUAUUACUGAUAAAUGAGUUUAUUGUAAAUUAUGCUCCAUUGGUCUUUUUGUGUUUUCUACCCACCUUUAUCUCCGUGACGGUGAGAUAU